rnacentral:tRNA from 1 species
UGCGGGAUGGAGCAGACCGGUAGCUCGUCAGGCUCAUAACCUGAAGGUCGUAGGUUCAAAUCCUACUCCCGCAU